rnacentral:rRNA from 1 species
AACACAUGCAAGUCGAACGAAGUUCCUUCGGGGACUUAGUGGCGGACGGGUGAGUAACACGUGAGAACCUGCCUUCAGAAUGGGGACAACAGUUGGAAACGACUGCUAAUACCCAAUGUGCCGAAAGGUGAAAGAUUUAUCGUCUGAAGAUGGGCUCGCGUCUGAUUAGCUAGAUGGUGGGGUAAGAGCCUACCAUGGCAACGAUCAGUAGCUGGUCUGAGAGGAUGAGCAGCCACACUGGGACUGAGACACGGCCCAGACUCCUACGGGAGGCAGCAGUGGGGAAUUUUCCGCAAUGGGCGCAAGCCUGACGGAGCAAUACCGCGUGAGGGAGGAAGGUCCUUGGAUUGUAAACCUCUUUUAUCAGGGAAGAAAAAAAUGACGGUACCUGAUGAAUAAGCAUCGGCUAACUCCGUGCCAGCAGCCGCGGUAAUACGGAGGAUGCGAGCGUUAUCCGGAAUUAUUGGGCGUAAAGCGUCCGUAGGUGGUCAUGCAAGUCUGCCGUUAAAGAAUGGAGCUCAACUCCAUACGAGCGGUGGAAACUGCAAGACUAGAGUACAGUAGGGGUAGCAGGAAUUCCCAGUGUAGCGGUGAAAUGCGUAGAUAUUGGGAAGAACAUCGGUGGCGAAAGCGUGCUACUGGGCUGAAACUGACACUGAGGGACGAAAGCUAGGGUAGCGAAAGGGAUUAGAUACCCCUGUAGUCCUAGCCGUAAACGAUGGAUACUAGGCGUGGCUUGUAUCGACCCGAGCCGUGCCGAAGCUAACGCGUUAAGUAUCCCGCCUGGGGAGUACGCACGCAAGUGUGAAACUCAAAGGAAUUGACGGGGGCCCGCACAAGCGGUGGAGUAUGUGGUUUAAUUCGAUGCAACGCGAAGAACCUUACCAAGGCUUGACAUCCCUGGAAUCUUGCAGAAAUGCGAGAGUGCCUUAGGGAGCCAGGAGACAGGUGGUGCAUGGCUGUCGUCAGCUCGUGUCGUGAGAUGUUGGGUUAAGUCCCGCAACGAGCGCAACCCUCGUUUUUAGUUGCCAUCAUUAAGUUGGGCACUCUAGAGAGACUGCCGGUGACAAACCGGAGGAAGGUGGGGAUGACGUCAAGUCAUCAUGCCCCUUACGCCUUGGGCUACACACGUACUACAAUGGUCGGGACAACGGGCAGCUAAACCGCGAGGUCAAGCGAAUCCCAUCAAACCCGGCCUCAGUUCAGAUUGCAGGCUGCAACUCGCCUGCAUGAAGGAGGAAUCGCUAGUAAUCGCAGGUCAGAAUACUGCGGUGAAUUCGUUCCCGGGCCUUGUACACACCGCCCGUCACACCAUGGGAGCUGGUCACGCCCGAAGUCG